rnacentral:lncRNA from 10 species
GGUUGGAUAAUGGGAGCAGAUUUCUUUUUUCUUUUUUUUUGAGACGGAGUAUUGCUCUGUUGCCCAGGCUGGAGUGCAGUGCCACGAUCUCGGCUCACUGAAACCUCUGCCUCCUGGGUUCAAGCGAUUGUUUUGCCUCAGCCUCCUGAGUAACUGGGAUUACAGGCGUGCACCACAACACCCAGCUAAUUUUUUGUAUUUUUAGUAGAGAUGGAGUUUCACCAAGUUGGCCAGCCUGAUCUUGAACUCCUGACCUCAAGGGAUCCACCUGCCUCGGCCUCCCAAAGUGCUGGGAUUACAGGCGUGAGCCACCGCGCCUGGCCUGGGAGCACAUUUCUUAUUAAUGGUUUAGUACCAUCCCCUUGGUGCUGUCCUCGCAAUAAUGAGUGAAUUCUCACAAGAUCUGAUUGUUUAAAAGCGUGUGCUGCCUCCCCUCCUCUCUCCCUCCUGCUCCUGCCUUGCCAUUGACUUGCCUGCUCCCUCUCCACCUUCCACCUGAUUGUAAGUUUCCUGAGGCUUCCCUAGAAGCUGAGUGGAUGCCAACACCAUUCUUCGUGUCCAGCCUGCAGAAUCAUGAGCCUAUCAAACCUCUUUUCUUUACAAAUCACCCAAUCUGUUAUUUCUUUAGAGCAACGCAAGGACCGACUAAUAUAGUUGGGUUCUGUGAAGUUCAGCCACCUUGAAUAUAUGUGACUGAAUACACAUACCACUGAAUAUAACAUACACUUCUUCACAGACAGAGACAACCAGCAUUUGUCUGUCCCCUUUAGAAAUAUUAAUCAUAAUGUUAUAAUGUUGACUGUCCUGAAAGGGAUUGUGACAAAUUUUCUAUUUGUUACCUGUUUUUGGUUUGUUUUUGCUUUUUUUUUUUUUUUUUUUUUGACAGGUCUCGCUGUGUCACCCUGGCUGAAGUGCAGUGGCUAUUCACAGGCAUCAUCGUGAAUACUACAGCCUUAAACUCCUGGCCUCAAGUGAUCCUCCUGCCUCAGCCUGCUGAGUAGCUGGGACUGCAGGCACACACUACUGAGCCUAGAUUUGCUACCUGGUUUUUACUGGAAAUAGGAAAACACACGUAAAGCUCAUACUCCAUGGACCACGCAGGCUGGAGAGCAGCCCUCCAGGGCAUGUGCCCACAUCUGCCCAGUGAGUUGUUCAGGUACCUGAGUCAGGUGUGUUUACCUCCGGAUCUGUGUCCAUCAGUUACACUUAUGUUAACAAUUAUGUAAUUCUGUGAAUAACCUAUAAACUGAUGAAAUAUGAGUACAGAAAAGAGCAGUUUCUAUGAUAACAAGGUUGAAUGCCUUGGAAAACUUAACAGCAAGUCAAUCAAAGAACAGCCUGCUGUUGAGCUGUUGAAUUACAGAUUGGUGAGAGAACUGAAAAAUAUGAAGGGAAGAAGUUAAUGCUCCGGAAGGAUACUGCACUCCAUUACUUCCCAUUUUCCAUAUUUGAAAGUCAUUCCUCCACGUUUGAGAAAUCCGCAUUAUGGGUUGAGGAUUCUUCAUUGUGGUUUACACCAAAAAGCCAAAGAAGCAGCUCUGUUAGAGGACUCAGACUUCGAGAGAAGACUUUAGCCUUGCCCUACACCUGCCAGAUGAAGGUGCCUUUGCAUUGAGUUAAAGUAAAACAGUUAAUGAAUAUAUAUUUAGUCAUUAUUUUAUUUUUGAUGAUGAUGAUGAUAAUUUUAUUUUAUUUAUUAUCAUUAUUAUUACUAUUACUUUGAGAUGGAGUCUUGCUCUGUCACCCAGGCUGGAGUGCAGUGGUGCUAUCUCGGCUCACUGCAACCUCCGCCUCCCAGAGUCAAGCAGCUCUCCUGCGUCAGCCUCCCAGGUAGCUGGGAUUACAGGCACCCGCCACCAUGCCGGGCUACUUUUUGUAUUUUCAGUAGAGAGGAGAUUUCACCAUGUUGGCCAGGCUGGUCUCAAACUCUUGACC